rnacentral:lncRNA from 1 species
UUAUAUGGUGGCUAUUGAGUUCUUUGUUGGGGAAAUGAAAAUGCUAGAGAAGCAUCAUACAUCGCAUUAGCUAACCUCGGAGAAAAUUGACAAGCACUUCCACGGUCCAACAGAAGAAUUGUCAAGUUAGAACACCACUUUCAUACACAAGAAUCCAUGACAAAAGAUUUUAAGGAGAAGAAAAAUUUUCCAAACCAAGGAUCUACUUUAAGCAUCCCCUGACUAAAACCCAAAUGACCCAACGCCGGUACACCAAUCCAUAGGCUUAGAAGGUGGACGAGAUGUCUGCAUUGUGAAUGAGGUAAGUGAGCACCAGAGCCACCAACAUGAGCACAUAUGCCACUCCCUGGUCGAUCGAUGUUCCUGAGAUCGCACAAAUCGCAACUAUUAGCAACAACCCUUUUACAAAAUCAAAUCUUUCCAUGCAAUGAUCUCAAGGGAAGGAUGAUGCCAACAGCAGAAGAAGGCACAAAAUGAACCGGUUUUUGACCCGAGUUAUGUUGCACACAGCUGAUUUGCUCUUUGCUCAUUAGAAACCUGGAAGUCCAUUUCAAUUGCAGAACUUGCUACAUUAUAGAGGAAUUUUACUAAAGCUCAUCUAUCAGACGGCGGAUCAAGCAGCUUUAGCGUUGCAAUAUGCCAAUGUUUGAAACAUGAAUCGCUUGACAAUUCCAGAAAAAAAUUGUAAAAAGUCAAGAUGGGUAGACAUGAUUUGGCCAGAAAUAGAAUGCUUCAUUACUCGGCACAUGACAGGCAGGUACCCAUCAAGGAGGGACCGGUCCGUCAGCGUCAAGGAAUUUCUUGAUAAUUGAAAUGGUUACCCUGAAAAGCUGUCAAUAAUUGAAGGGGACAGUCUGCCAGCUUCACUUUCGGAACUAGAUUUGGAAAAUGGGCAAGGAAAUUAGGAUUGACUUAUUUCUGUAUUGAUUAUGACAUUUAAAUUGAGUAAAUGUAACCGAGAAAAUUACCCAUGGAAUUUGAAUUCGAAAAUCUUCUUUGAUCCGCACCAUUUUAAAAAAUUUCAUGUUUCAAAACUUAAAAAUCAAGAAUGGAACGGGAAUGCGUUGAGAUCUUCUCUUCAUCAUAUCCUAGUGCACGAAUCAAUCAAUGUAAUGCUUCAGCUCAAAUUGCUAAGCCGAAAAACGACUUAAUUUAGAAUAAAACCCUUUUUCCAAAAUUGGAUUUUGGAAAGGAAGGAGCCAUUUACGAUGAAAAUCCGGAAUAACUUUCAGAUGCAGGGACGAAUUGGAAUAACUUUCAAAUGCCCGUCUUGCCAGAGAAAUUAUUCAUCUCAAAAAACCACAGCACGAAAAAAAAAAAAGAAUCAACAAUGCCGGACAUCUCAACUUCAGAUCUCAAUCUCACCAAAUGCAAGAGACACCCAAAGAGAGAGAGAGAGAGAGAGAGAGGACUCACCGUCGCUGGCGGGCGCGGGUGCCGGGGCGCGGGACUGGGCCUGGGCGGUGGGCAACGCAAUGGCGAUGACGAGGGCCGCAAUGGCGGCCAGCACGCCGUGCGAGAACCUGUAGACCUCCAUAUUUUCCUCCUCGUCCGAUCUCGGUCGAGCCCGCUACCAACCCAGAUGGGAAUCGUCAAACACGAGGGAAAAAACAAAAAGAAAAACGCAAAGAACCGCAAAAAAACGCCGGGCGAGAGAGGGGAGAUCUCGGCCGGGUCUCUCUCUGCGACGCCUCUCGCAGUACAAGGCAGCCCCCCUGGCGAGCGCGGCCGCAGAGAGAGAAGCGAAGGAAAGGAAAGGAAAAAGGGAAAGAUUUCGGGGAGGAUUCUUGCUGUAAUGCGAGAGAAAGAGACGAAGAGAGAGAGAGAGAGAGAGGAAGGGACGAGGAUUGGUGGAGAUUUUGAGGGGUCGCUUGAAGAUUUAUAGGAGCAUAACGUUACAAUGCAAUACCAAACGCAC